rnacentral:rRNA from 1 species
CGCAAUGGGCGAAAGCCUGACGGAGCAACGCCGCGUGAAUGAUGAAGGCCUUCGGGUUGUAAAAUUCUGUCUUCAGGGAAGAAAAAAAUGACGGUACCUGAGGAGGAAGCCCCGGCUAACUACGUGCCAGCAGGCGCGGUAAUACGUAGGGGGCGAGCGUUGUCCGGAAUUACUGGGCGUAAAGGGCGCGUAGGCGGUUUCUUAAGUCAGAGGUGAAAACUAUGGGCUCAACCCAUAGCCUGCCUUUGAAACUGGGAGACUUGAGGACAGGAGAGGGGAGUGGAAUUCCCAGUGUAGCGGUGAAAUGCGUAGAUAUUGGGAGGAACACCAGUGGCGAAGGCGGCUCUCUGGCCUGUCCCCGUCUUUCAGGCGCGAAAGCGU